UACGUAGGCAGCAAGCGUUGUUCGGAGUUACUGGGCGUAAAGGGUGUGUAGGCGGCCUGACAGGUCUGCUGUGAAAACUCGAGGCUCAACCUCGAGAUGUCGGCGGAAACCGUCUGGCUAGAGUCCGGAAGAGGAGAGUGGAAUUCCUGGUGUAGCGGUGAAAUGCGCAGAUAUCAGGAAGAACACCUAUGGCGAAGGCAGCUCUCUGGGACGGUACUGACGCUGAGACGCGAAAGCGUGGGGAGCGAACAGG
rnacentral:rRNA from 1 species